rnacentral:rRNA from 1 species
CCUACGGGUGGCAGCAGUGGGGAAUAUUGCGCAAUGGGGGCAACCCUGACGCCGCAACGCCGCGUGAUUGAAGAAGGCCUUCGGGUUGUACAGAUCUUUAAACAGGGACGAAGAAAUGACGGUAACUGAAGAAUAAGCUCCGGCUAACUACGUGCCAGCAGCCGCGGUCAUACGUAGAGAGCAAGCGUUAUCCGGAUUUCAGUGGUGUAAAGGGCGUGUAGCCGGGCCUGUACGUCAGAAGUGAAAUCUGGGGGCUUAACCCCCAAACUGCUUUUGAAACUGCGGGUCUUGAGUGAUGGAGAGGCAGGCGGAAUUCCCAGUGUAGCGGUGAAAUGCGUAGAUAUUGGGAGGAACACCAGUGGCGAAGGCGGCCUGCUGGACAUUAACGGACGCUGAGGCGCGAAAGCGUGGGGAGCAAACAGGAUUAGAUACCCGAGUAGUC